rnacentral:piRNA from 1 species
UAGAGGACAGCACACACUUGGGACA